AUUGAACGCUGGCGGCAGGCCUAACACAUGCAAGUCGAGCGCGCGGCGGACGGGUGCGUCAUGUAUGGGGGUCUGCCCGAUAGAGGGGGAUAACUACUGGAAACUGUAGCUACUACCGCAUACUAUCGGAUGAACCCAUAUGGGAUUAGCUAGUAGGUGAGGUAAUGGCUCACCUCGGCGACGAUCCCUAGCUGGUCUGAGAGGAUGAUCAGCCACACUGGGACUGAGACACGGCCCAGACUCCUACGGGAGGCAGCAGUGGGGAAUAUUGCACAAUGGGCGCAAGCCUGAUGCAGCCAUGCCGCGUGUAUGAAGAAGGCCUUCGGGUUGUAAAGUACUUUCAGCGGGGAGGCGUUACCCGCAGAAGAAGCACCGGCUAACUCCGUGCCAGCAGCCGCGGUAAUAC
rnacentral:rRNA from 1 species